rnacentral:rRNA from 1 species
ACGCAGUAGCAAUACUGAGUGGCAAACGGGUGAGUAUAAUGUGGGAAUCUGCCUUUUGGUUUGGAAUAACACGGGGAAACUUGUGCUAAUACCGAAUAAGCCCUUACGGGGAAAGUUUUAAUGCCGAAAGAUGAGCCUGCACUUGAUUAGCUAGUUGGUAAGGUAAAAGCUUACCAAGGCAACGAUCAAUAGCUGUUCUUAGAGGAAGACCAGCCACAUUGGGACUGAGACACGGCCCAGACUCCUACGGGAGGCAGCAGUGGGGAAUCUUGCACAAUGGGGGAAACCCUGAUGCAGCGAUGCCGCGUGAGUGAAGAAGGCCCUUGGGUUGUAAAACUCUUUCGUCGGGGAAGAAAAUGACUGUACCCGAAUAAGAAGGUCCGGCUAACUUCGUGCCAGCAGCCGCGGUAAUACGAAGGGACCUAGCGUAGUUCGGAAUUACUGGGCUUAAAGAGCUCGUAGGUGGUUAAAAAAGUUGAUGGUGAAAUCCCAAGGCUCAACCUUGGAACUGCCAUCAAAACUUUUUAGCUAGAGUGUGAUAGAGGUAAGUGGAAUUUCUAGUGUAGAGGUGAAAUUCGUAGAUAUUAGAAAGAACACCAAAUGCGAAGGCAACUUACUGGGUCACUACUGACACUGAGGAGCGAAAGCAUGGGUAGCGAAGAGGAUUAGAUACCCUCGUAGUCCAUGCCGUAAACGAUGUGUGCUAGACGUUGGAAAUAUAUUUUUCAGUGUCGCAGCGAAAGCAUUAAGCACACCGCCUGGGGAGUACGACCGCAAGGUUAAAACUCAAAUGAAUUGACGGGGACCCGCACAAGCAGUGGAGCAUGUGGUUUAAUUCGAAGAUACGCGCAGAACCUUACCAACACUUGACAUGUUCGUCGCGAGA